CUGGAGUGGGCUAGAGGCAGAGAGAGAAAGCGCCAUAAAAGGAGAAUGAGGUCCAAGCCCCUGCUUGGCCCCCUUCCCCUGAGGCCUUCCCACCCGCCCCCACCCCCAUUAUGAGCUCAAGGGUCUGAGAAAAGGGGGAUCAGGGAGAAGAGAGAAGGCAGGGGCUGAGCUGACUCCUUAUAGCCUUUCCCUUAGGCAGCACUCUGACGCCAUAAAGCCUCCCCACCUCCACUCAGGCUUUCCUUUUUCAAGGAGAAGGGAGAGCCCUUUUGGGGUUGUCCCUCACCUUGUAGAGGGAAGAGUCAUCUCCACCUUGGAGUGAGUUGGUUGGGGCUGGGGAAGAGACCCCACCCAGUCCCAGCUGGAGAUGGACUAUGAAAUGAUAAGGGGGAACAGGGAGGGGUUCCGUCACAUGCGAGUCCAUGAGGACCGAGCACCCCUGCUCCCUUAGCAGCAGCUGGAUGGAGAGUUGUGGGCUCCGGAGGAAAGGGGCCCCAGGCCCGAGGGAGUGGGCCUAGGAGGGCAUGCGGGAACGGGCCCCCUGCUCUCCCUCCCUCCCGCGGCGCAGCCUUCAGAACACACUGGGACCUGAAUGGGCAGCCAGCCGUGGAAAGCAGAAAAUGCUGCCCAGAGCCCAGUUUCUGAUCCAAGGAUCCGGCCCCAGCUAUCCAAGGAGAAGAUUGAGGGCUGCCAUAUCUGUACCUCGGUGACUCCUGGGGAGCCCCAGGUGCUGCUGGGGAAGGACAAGGCCUUCACCUAUGACUUUGUCUUUGACCUGGACACCUGGCAAGAGCAAAUCUACACAGCUUGUGUGGGCAAGCUCAUCGAGGGAUGCUUCGAGGGCUACAAUGCCACAGUGCUGGCCUACGGACAGACAGGCGCUGGGAAGACGUACACCAUGGGCACCGGCUUCGACAUGAGCACCUCGGAGGAGGAACAUGGUAUCAUCCCAAGGGCCAUAGCCCACCUCUUUGGGGGCAUUGCCGAACGCAAGAAACGGGCUCAGGAGCAGGGAGUUCCUGGGCCUGAGUUCAAAGUCAGCGCGCAGUUUCUGGAGCUCUACAACGAGGAGAUCCUAGACCUGUUUGAUAGCACUCGAGAUCCCGACUCCCGCCACCGAAAAUCCAACAUCAAGAUCCAUGAGGACGCCAAUGGGGGCAUCUACACCACAGGGGUCACCUCCCGGCUCAUCAAUUCCCAAGACGAGCUGAUCCAGUGUUUGAAGCAGGGCGCUCUGUCCCGGACCACGGCCAGCACCCAGAUGAACGUGCAGAGUUCCCGCUCUCAUGCCAUCUUCACCAUCCACCUGUGCCAGAUGCGUGUCUGCGCCCGGGCCGACCUGGUUAAUGGUGAGGUGCCCGGCCUUCCUGAUGGUACGACCCCCACCAACGAGUAUGAGACGCUCACAGCCAAGUUUCAUUUCGUGGAUCUGGCCGGCUCCGAGCGGCUGAAACGGACGGGGGCCACAGGCGAGAGGGCCAAGGAGGGCAUCUCCAUCAACUGUGGCCUGCUGGCCUUGGGGAACGUGAUCAGUGCCCUGGGAGACCAGAGCAAGAAGGCCGUGCAUGUGCCAUAUCGGGACUCCAAACUCACACGGCUCCUCCAGGACUCCCUCGGGGGAAACAGCCAGACAAUUAUGAUCGCUUGUGUGAGCCCUUCGGAUCGGGACUUUAUGGAGACCCUGAACACCCUCAAGUACGCCAAUCGGGCCCGCAACAUCAAGAACAAGGUGGUUGUGAACCAGGAUAAGACCAGCCAGCAGAUCAGUGCCCUUCGCGCAGAGAUUGCCCGCCUGCAGAUGGAGCUGAUGGAGUACAAGGCGGGUAAGCGAGUGACUAGGGAGGAUGGCUCAGAGGGCUACAGUGACCUGUUCCGAGAGAACGCCAUGCUGCAGAAGGAGAACGGCACACUGCGGAUGCGGGUGAAAGCCAUGCAGGAAGCCAUUGAUGCCAUCAACAACCGAGUCACCCAGCUCAUGAGCCAGGAGGCCAACCUGCUUCUCGCCAAGGCUGGAGAUGGCAAUGAGGCCAUUGGUACCCUAAUCCAGAAUUAUAUCCGAGAGAUUGAGGAGCUUCGCACAAAGCUUCUCGAGAGUGAAGCAAUGAAUGAGUCUCUCCGCCGUACCCUCUCACGGACCUCAUUGCGGUCUUCCUACCCCAUGAGUAGCUCCCAAAGCCAGGGAACUUUGUUGAGCAGCCCAUCGAUUUCCAUGGAAACAGAGGCCUCAGAGGUGAUCCGUAAGGCUAAGCAGGACUUGGAAAGGCUAAAGAAAAAGGAGACCAGGCAACGGAGAAAAAGCCCGGAGAAGGAGGCCUUUAAAAAGAGAGCAAAGUUACAGCAAGAGAAUGGUGAAGAAACAGAUGAGAAUGAAGCUGAGGAGGAGGAAGAGGAGGAUCGGGAUGAAAGUGGUUGUGAGGAAGAGGAAGGACGGGAAGAUGAGGAUGAAGAUUCGGGCAGUGAGGAGAGCCUGGUGGAUUCAGACUCGGAUCCUGAGGAGAAGGAGGUGAACUUCCAAGCUGACCUGGCAGACUUGACUUGUGAGAUUGAGAUCAAGCAGAAGCUGAUUGAUGAACUGGAGAACAGCCAGCGCCGGCUGCAGACGCUGAAGCACCAGUACGAGGAAAAGCUGAUCCUGUUACAGAACAAGAUCCGGGACACCCAGCUCGAGCGGGACCGGGUGCUCCAGAACCUCAGCACCAUGGAGUGCUACACGGAGGAGAAAGCCAACAAGAUCAAGGCGGAUUACGAGAAGCGUCUGCGGGAGAUGAAUCGGGACCUGCAGAAGUUGCAGGCAGCCCAGAAGGAACACGCGCGGCUGCUCAAGAACCAGUCCCGGUACGAGAGGGAGCUGAAGAAGCUUCAGGCCGAGGUGGCGGAGAUGAAGAAGGCCAAGGUGGCUUUGAUGAAGCAAAUGAGGGAGGAGCAGCAGCGGAGGCGGCUGGUAGAAACCAAGAGGAACCGGGAGAUAGCCCAGCUAAAGAAGGAGCAACGGCGGCAGGAGUUUCAGAUCCGGGCUCUGGAAUCUCAGAAGCGCCAGCAGGAGAUGGUGUUGAGGAGGAAAACCCAGGAGGUGUCAGCUCUGCGACGCCUGGCCAAACCCAUGUCGGAGCGGGUGGCAGGGCGGGUCGCAGCAAAGCCUCCCAUGCUGGACUCGGGGGCAGAAGUGUCAGCCAGCACCACAUCAUCCGAGGCAGAGUCUGGAGCCCGCUCAGUCUCAAGCAUCGUGCGUCAAUGGAACCGAAAGAUCAACCACUUUCUGGGGGACCCAGCGACCCCAGUCAAUGGCACCCGUCCUGCCAGGAAAAAGUUCCAGAAGAAAGGGGCUAGCCAGAGCUUCAGCAAAGCUGCCAGGUUAAAGUGGCAGUCCCUAGAACGGCGUAUCAUCGACAUUGUCAUGCAGAGGAUGACCAUUGUCAACCUAGAGGCUGAUAUGGAGAGGCUUAUCAAGAAAAGGGAAGAGCUGUUUCUCCUUCAGGAAACACUGAGGAGAAAAAGGGAGAAGCUUCAGGAGGAGAGCCCAGAGGAGGAGAAGGGCCUACAGGAGCUGAGUGAAGAGAUUGAGGUGCUCGCAGCCAAUAUAGACUAUAUUAAUGACAGCAUUUCUGAUUGCCAGGCCACCAUUGUACAGCUGGAAGAGACCAAGGAGGAACUCGAUUCCACGGACACAUCAGUGGUCAUCAGCUCCUGCUCUUUGGCAGAAGCUCGACUCUUGUUGGACAACUUUCUCAAAGCCUCCAUUGAAAAGGGUCUACAGGUGGCCCAGAAGGAGGCCCAGAUUCGGCUGUUGGAGGGGAGGCUGAGGCAGACGGACAUGAACAACUCCUCUCAGAACCAUCUGAUCCUGGAUGCCCUCCGAGAGAAGGCUGAGGCUCACCCUGAACUGCAGGCUCUGAUCCACAAUGUGCAGCAGGAGAACGGAUAUUGCAGCACAGAUGAGGAGAUCUCCGAGUUCUCAGAGGGAAGCUUCUCCCAGUCCUUCACCAUGAAAGGUUCUACAAGCCAUGAUGAUUUCAAAUUCAAGGGGGAGCCCAAGCUGUCGGCCCAAAUGAAGGCGGUGUCGGCUGAGUGCCUGGGCCCCCCGCUGGACAUCUCCACCAAGAACAUCACUAAAUCUCUGGCCUCCCUCGUGGAGAUCAAGGAGGAUGGCGUGGGCUUCUCCAUCCGAGACCCCUACUACCGAGACAAGGUCUCCCGGACCAUCAGCCUGCCCACCCGCGGCAGCACCUUCCCUCGGCAAUCGCGAGGCUCUGAAACCUCCCCGCUGACCCGCAGGAAAUCCUAUGACCGAGGGCAGCCUAUCAGGUCCUCGGACAUGGCCUUCACACCCCCUUCGUCCCCCCCUACGCGGCCCCGCAAUGACCGUAACGUCUUCUCUCGCCUCACCAGCAAUCAGAGCCAGGGGUCGGCACUGGACAAGUCUGAUGACAGCGACUCCUCUAUCUCGGAGGUCCUGAGGGGGAUCAUCAACCCCAUCGGCGGGGCCAAGAGCGCCCGGACGGCCCCCCUGCAGUGCGUCUCGGUGGCCGAGGGUCACACCAAGCCCAUCCUUUGCUUGGAUGCCACAGACGAGCUGCUCUUCACUGGAUCAAAAGACAGAAGCUGCAAGAUGUGGAACCUGGUGACGGGGCAGGAGAUUGCCGCUCUGAAGGGACAUCCCAACAAUGUUGUCUCCAUCAAGUACUGCGCUCACCUGGGCCUGGUGUUUUCCGUCUCCACGUCCUACAUCAAGGUGUGGGACAUCCGGGAUUCCGCCAAGUGCAUUCGCACCCUCACGUCCUCAGGUCAAGUGAUCUCCGGAGACGCCUGCGCAAGUACCACCAACCGCACCAUCACCAGCGCGCAGGGCGAGCACCAGAUCAACCAGAUUGCCCUCAACCCCACCGGCACUACCCUGUACGCUGCCUCUGGCAAUUCAGUCCGUGUCUGGGAGCUCAACAGAUUCCAGCCCAUUGGCAAGCUGACCGGCCACAUUGGCCCCGUGAUGUGCUUGACCGUCAGCCAGACUUCCAAUCAGCACGAUCUUGUGGUGACAGGCUCCAAAGACCACUAUGUGAAGAUGUUUGAGCUGGGAGAGUGUGUGAUGGGCAACAUCAGCCCUACCCACAACUUUGAGCCCCCGCACUAUGACGGCAUCGAGUGCCUCGCCAUCCAGGGCGACAUCCUGUUCAGCGGCUCCCGGGACAAUGGCAUUAAGAAGUGGGAUCUGGAGCAGCAGGAGCUCAUUCAGCAAAUCCCAAACGCGCACAAGGACUGGGUGUGCGCUCUGGCCUUUGUUCCCGGCCGGCCCAUGCUGCUGAGCACCUGCCGAGGGGGCUUCAUCAAGGUCUGGAACGUGGAAAACUUCACCCCCAUUGGAGAGAUCAAAGGUCAUGACAGCCCCAUCAAUGCCAUCUGCACCAACUCCAAGCACAUUUUUACGGCCUCCAGUGACUGCCGGGUAAAGUUGUGGAGUUACGUCCCUGGACUCACCCCCUGCCUUCCACGCCGCGUCCUGGCUAUAAAGGGCCGUGCCACUAGCCUGCCUUGACCCUUUUCUUCCCUCCCCCUUCCCUCAUCUUUCCUCUCAGUCCUCCUUUCUCUCCUCUUCUUCUCCCCUUCUUCCCUCUUCCUUUCUUUCUCCACUUCGAUCCAAGCUGCUUCUUAACGUGAUCUGACAGUGAAACUCUGGAACGGAAGGCGGCUGCCCAGUGACACAUUCUAGGAGCAGAAGCUGGAGGGGGCACUCAGAUUCCACAUUUCUCCCAGCAGCCUGCACAUCGUCCAAAGGGAAGCAUCUUCAGACAAUCUAGGACCCACAGAUCCAGGGCAGAUGCUGCUGGUGGUUCUGGGCAAGAGGAUUUGGGGAUUCUUCCCCUGGCCCUCUCCUGGCCUUCCUGAGGGGACAGUGUUCCCAAACCAUCUCCUGAUGGGCUGGGGACCCCCUACGGGGAAGGAUAUUUAAGCUGUGAAGCUCUUUGCCCACUCUUUCUCCUGAAGCUCCUCAGCUACUUCCAGGUUCGGCCCCGUUUUCUUCCUGCUAAAUCCUCCCCUUCUCCCCCCAACCUCAGGAGCUCUCCAGCUGGCCUGUGAGAAGACCUUGGGGAAAACUUUCCGAGUUCCCCCACCUCCAGCUCCCCAUGGUGGGGAGGGGAUUCUGAGCCAGGCUGAGGGGAUCCCCCAGCCACAUUUUAACUAGGAAAAGACCCUUUUUUCCUCUUCCCUUCUUUCCUCUUCCAUCUGACACAGUCUUUCAGAUGGCAUCUUUCCUCCAAUCCUCUCUUGCCCUUCUGAGUCCUUAACCUCCUCACCCAAAAAGGAGGUCAAAGGAAAAAGCACCACUCUAGUAACCUUGUAAAUUUGGGGAUGGACACCUGCCCACCCCACCCCUGAGCCUUCUCCCGUGGGGCCGCCCCCAUCUCAUCCCCUGGGACUCUGCCCUCCCCCUGCGGGGGGCCCAUCCUUCAGAAAGCUCCAUCUGAGGGGAGAGGCACAGACCCAGCCUGGUCAUUUCAUCUAUUUAACUAUUUAUUUAUUUAUUUAUUGCUGGCACUUCCUGGAUACCAACUUGAAGUUUCUUCUGAUGCUUUCUGUCCCUUGAGCUGUCCAGGUCCAGGGAAUCCUAAGGAAGGGGAAAGGCAGGGGACAAAAUGGGGAGGGAAGCCUGGGGAGGGGGCGGGAAGGGUCCCCAAUGGGAAAGGGUGCAUGGACAGCACUCCUGAGCCUCUGCUUCUGAGCCAUUCUAGCCUUUGACACAUUCUGGGAUCAACUGGGGAAGAAUCCCUUUUGAUUUCUUCCCUCCCCAUCUCCCUGCCCUCCUUCCUAAUCCCCCUCCCCAAAUGCCUCCCACUUCUGGGCUAUUCCUGGCUUUCCUGUCCGAGGGGGAAGCAUCCUAGCCCCCGGUUCACCGCAUGCCAUCAGACGCUCCAGUGCCUUCCACCCCCCUGGGGCCUGGCACCCAGAGCUGGGUGACCCGCUGCCAGCCACACGUGUCUUGCUGCCUCCUCUUCCAUCCUGACGACUGCUGCCUGCCCUCCUAGCCGGAUCUAACUUCAGGGAGGUCUCGAUCUCUUGCCCCCCACCCCCACCCCCUGCCACAUGCUAUGUUCCAAACUUCAUCAAGGGGGGAAUUCCUGCCCCAUUCCCUCAUCACUUAAGAAGCAGCUUUUGGAUCCUCUCCCUUGUCUCAUGGUACUGUGUAUAGUAGGAUGUCUUGAGUAGUAAGGACUAAGUUUUAGGGUCUGUUCCUUUGCCCCUCCCAUGCCUCUCCCCACCACGCCCUGGGAUAGGAUGGUGUUUUAUUUCCUGGGCAUGGUGGGGAGUGGGUUCAGAAGGUUCUCCAUGUUCUGACUCCACCAUCCCCCCCAGUUCUUCUCCAGCUCCCUUUUCUAUGGUUAUUCAAGAGACACAUUUUCAAGCCUUAAAACUGGAAUGAAAUAAGGGAGAAUCAUUACCCACUAAGACCCAAAUACCCUUUGGGGAUUUUUUUUUUUUUUUUGGCCUGGGGGAGGGAGGGGGAAGGUUAUUGGAUUGAAAGAGGCUCUGGUUUUUUUUCUUGCCCAGGGCCCAUUUGCUAGGUGAAUUUUGUAUUAAAUUAAUGUCUGGGUUUCCCCUUCCGGGUGGAACCAGUGAACUCAAAGACGCCCAGGGAAAACUUCUUUCCCCAUCACACGCCAGCCCUUUGCUUGUCUGGCUUCCUCCCACCGGGCGCGGACACAGCGGGAUUCGGCAUCCAGAGCCAGGGCCGGGAGCUGAUGUCUUGGAGGGAGCCUCUGGAAGUGGACGCGAGCUUUCCUCCCCCGUCCCACCGCGCGGACCGGCAGGAGACGGGGCCCCCCCGCAGGCCCGGGUCCCUCUUAGAUUCUGCACAAAAGGUGACUAGAAGACAACAGGGGGGGCUCUCCUCUCGCUGGAGGAAACGGCUUUUGCAUUUCAGGCUUUCUGCAUUUUCCGUUGUCUGAGAGGAAAAAACUUGCGGGGGAGCAGCCGGUGCCGUCUUUCCCCAGGGUGACCCGGUCCUUCUAGCGUCAGCAGACCAACACAUCCCCCCACCAAGCAGCGGAGUGACUUUGCAGAAUGACUGUUCACAGCUCCUCUCUUUGCUGGACAUGGGCUGAAAUUUGGGGUCAUUUGGUUGCAGGAAGAAAAGAAAUGAAGUUUUGGUCUUCGGGGAACAAUAGACAGACAGUGUCACUGAUGGCUUGUUACUCUCUCCCGGCCCCCGUGCUUGGGAUGGGGGGACCGAGCUUGGCGAGUUCGGGUCUCAUUCACCUCCCCUCCGCCCAAGCAAGCCCGUGUUUGUUUGCGGCCCCUCCCCUCCGCCACACUCUGGGAGAUGGGGGUUGCUGCUUACAAACGCUGGACAAACAGAGAAGACUGUGUCGUUCCCCCCCCCCAGCCCCCUUGGCUUGGUCCCGCCUGCCCUGUCAGGGGUCGCCGCCCCCGGUGAUGGGGACUAGAGUAGGAGAUUUUACUGGGUUCCCACUCAUGUUUGAUCCCAAGGUCCCCCGUGGUUGUUGUCUGCCCCCUUUGUUGUUGAUGUCGGGUAAGCUACCUCAUGGCUGGACCUGGGCUUUGCUAUAUGUGAGUGAACUGGCUUUCCAGAAACUUGAAAUCCGGGGACCCGGACGGGGUCGCCCCAAUCUUGGGCCAUGGGGCAGCUAAGCUGGAAGGGAGCCGGGGUCUCAGGGCUUCCUUUGGAGGGAUUGAGGCGCCCGGGUGUUCAGUCUGAGCCAGAGAAUGGUUGGGAGCAGGGACUGCAACCGCACAAGUAUUUACAAGUAUCUGAAGUGUUAGAAGCACAAAACGAUUGUUUUCUGAGCACAAGGCCCAUAGAACCUGAGCACAAGCCCUACACUGAGGACGCUUAGACCCAGCCCUGGAGCACAGGAAGAGAGGCCCUGAGGCCUCCGGGCAGAAGAGAUUCCUACUGGCCAGUGUGUCCUGGGGGCCCUUUCCCAUAGACCGGUCCCAAGGGCUCUACUUGGGGAAGGGCCUGCUGUGCCUUGGGCACUAAUGAGAGGUAGUAAUAGAAAGGAUUGAAUAAGAGGCCACCCCAGUGUGUCCUGUCCUGUAAGCUGGGGCCAUAAGACAUCCCCACCGUUCCCCAAAGCUUGGGAGCUUUGAGCCCCAGGCCCUGAUGGGGACCACUCCUGUCUCUAAUAGCCUAAAUGAUUUUUAAAAAAAGAGAGACACCGGGUCUCCUGGGUUAGGACUCUUAGCUAGGGCUCAGAUUUUCAAGCACAGUAUUCUUGUCCUUUACAGUAUUAACUCCAUAAGUUAGUGGCAGCUCAGUCCUGAGCGGGCUUUUCUGUAAUAGACCCUGGAGUGAGCGCUGGGGAGAGAGAGCAAAGGAAGGAGGAGGGUGUUGGUGCUGGCUUUCAGCUGGGGGAAUGGGAAUCCCGCAUGGAGGUGAAAGUUGGAACAGGAGAUCCAGAAGGGACCCUAGAGGCCAUCUCUUCCCAUCCACUAAUGUAAUCUGAGCCAUUUGCAAAAAGUAAGCUGAUAGUGGUUGAGCAUCUGUGAAAACCCAUACCUGCGGGUGGGAUUUUUCCAAUCUCAUAGGAAAGGAUGAGGUCGGGCCCCUCUGUUGCCCUUCACUGUACCCCCUGGAAGCCUGCCCUCUCACUUCACCUGGAUGGGCAGGUCCCGUCUUUGCCAGGUUGGCAUCCCAGGGUGUCUGGGUUGGCGUUGCCCGUUGUGCUGCUGCCCUAUUACCGUGCCUCUAGUGCCAGGACACCACCCCCCUCACACACCCUCACCCAGCUGGUCUGGAUCCUUUGCCAGGCUGGUCUCUCCGCCUUCCCCGAACUGCAGGGGCUUCUCCCCCCGACGAUGCCCUUGGUCUCCCUCCUGGCCAGAUACCACUCAUCAAAGACUGACCUUCUAUUCCUCUGGUUCCUAAUAAUGUUUGCAAGUCCAGGACGGGGAAAGGUUUGUAGAGACGCAGUUUAACCACCAUCCUGGACUGCCCUUCAACCUCCCCAACCCCAGUAUCGCCAUCCCUCCCUCUCCCCAGUGCACCGCUGGGGGCUUGGACUCUCAGCUAGGACCCUGCUCCCUUUUCCACCAUUGUUAGAGUUCCUGAGACCCCAAAGUCCGCCAGCCCCAAAGGAGCAGGAGUGUGUGCAGAGGAGAUCCCUCCCUUGACCUGGCCACCCACUCUUGUCUAGAGGCUCCAGGGUCAGAUGUUGUCCUGGCUCCUCUCUGUGACGUGUAUAGCACAAGGUGUAUAUAUGUUUUGUACCUUUGCGGACAACUGUACAUAGUGUAAGAAAGUUAUUUAAGCCUCACGCUGUACAUUUUUGUUUUCAACCUAGAUGUGUUGGUUCCCAGAAGGUCUUCGUAAAUAAAGCCAAAAUGGCCAUUGUUUGUGGA